CCUACGGGUGGCUGCAGUGGGGAAUAUUGGGCAAUGGGCGCAAGCCUGACCCAGCAACGCCGCGUGAAGGAAGAAGGCUUUCGGGUUGUAAACUUCUUUUGUCAGGGACGAAGCAAGUGACGGUACCUGACGAAUAAGCCACGGCUAACUACGUGCCAGCAGCCGCGGUAAUACGUAGGUGGCAAGCGUUAUCCGGAUUUACUGGGUGUAAAGGGCGUGUAGGCGGGGAGGCAAGUCAGAUGUGAAAACCACGGGCUCAACCUGUGGCCUGCAUUUGAAACUGUUUUUCUUGAGUGCUGGAGAGGCAAUCGGAAUUCCGUGUGUAGCGGUGAAAUGCGUAGAUAUUAGGAGGAACACCAGUGGCGAAGGCGGCCUGCUGGGCUUUUACUGACGCUGAGGCUCGAAAGUGUGGGGAGCAAACAGGAUUAGAUACCCGGGUAGUC
rnacentral:rRNA from 1 species